GAGGGUACAGCUCAAGUGGUAGAGCACGUGCUUAGAAUGCAUAGGGUCCUGGGUUCAGUCCCCUGUACUGUCU
rnacentral:tRNA from 1 species